rnacentral:rRNA from 1 species
AUUGAACGCUGGCGGCAGGCUUAACACAUGCAAGUCGAGCGGGGUGAUGGUGCUUGCACUAUCACUUAGCGGCGGACGGGUGAGUAAUGCUUAGGAAUCUGCCUAUUAGUGGGGGACAGCAUCUCGAAAGGGAUACUAAUACCGCAUACGUCCUACGGGAGAAAGCAGGGGAUCACUUGUGACCUUGCGCUAAUAGAUGAGCCUAAGUCGGAUUAGCUAGUUGGUGGGGUAAAGGCCUACCAAGGCGACGAUCUGUAGCGGGUCUGAGAGGAUGAUCCGCCACACUGGGACUGAGACACGGCCCAGACUCCUACGGGAGGCAGCAGUGGGGAAUAUUGGACAAUGGGGGGAACCCUGAUCCAGCCAUGCCGCGUGUGUGAAGAAGGCCUUAUGGUUGUAAAGCACUUUAAGCGAGGAGGAGGCUCUUUUGGUUAAUACCCUAGAUGAGUGGACGUUACUCGCAGAAUAAGCACCGGCUAACUCUGUGCCAGCCGCCGCGGUAA